rnacentral:lncRNA from 1 species
CCAGCCAGGACUCAAGGAAGGGACGAAGUUUGCAAUCCUGGGAACUCUGCACCCCGGGCUUAGCCUCUAUUGGAAUCACAGAGAUGAAACGGAAAGGGCAACUGGUAAAUGAAUUGUCUCCAUCUCUGCUUAUAGAAAGCAGGGCUCGGCGCCAAGUGAACAAGCAGCGCGUUUGUAUUUGAAAUCAUUAACUAGCUCCCUCUGCGAUUCCAAGUACUAAAUUAUGACGUUCUCCUCAGAGCAACAGAAUAAUGGACAGCAGGACACCUGCAGGGGGAAGGGAAGCCAGCCGAUCAGCCAUGGGGAAGCUCAUCCAUGGAGGGAAAACUCGAUCUGGACCUCCAGCCGACCACCUCGGCAGUCAGUUUCCGCAGAUGUUUGACAGCUCCCACACACUGCCGUGCCUUUGCUCUGGAUCGUGCUUUCCGUUGUCUCCGACAUGUUUUGAAAUCCAGCUUUGAUGGAUGUCUGUCUGCUGCUUUUGUCUGUCUGUCAUUUGCUGCUUUCUCUUUUGCCUGCUGUUCAAUGAAUAAACUCUCACAUUGGAAACU